CGCCUCGCCCUGCUCUCCGCCGCCGCGCUCACGCUGGCGGCCCGGCCAGCGCCCAGCCCCGACCUCGGCCCCGGACCCGAGUGUUUUACAGCCAAUGGUGCGGAUUAUAGGGGAACACAGAACUGGACCUCACUGCAAGGCGGGAAGCCAUGUCUAUUCUGGAACGAGACUUUCCAGCAUCCAUACAACACUCUGAAAUACCCCAACGGGGAGGGGGGCCUGGGUGAGCAUAACUAUUGCAGAAACCCAGAUGGAGAUGUGAGCCCCUGGUGCUAUGUGGCAGAGCAUGAGGAUGGUGUCUACUGGAAGUACUGCGAGAUACCUG